UGCAGAAGAAUUCAGCCGAGGAGUUUACAAAUGAAGCCCAGCUUGUCUCUACCUAUGUGGAGCUCUCUCAGUUCUCCCAGAGCAUGGGCAUCAAGGACAAGUGGCUGUACUGUGAGCAGAUGGCCAUUCAGAAAAGCAGUUUAUGUUGGUUCUCCAGAGAGGGAUUGUUGGCCACAGCUCAGCUCAUGCAGACCCUGGCCUACACCAAGCUCUGCCUUGGCCAUCUUGACUUCUCCAUCAAGCUGGGUUUUCAAGCUCGUGAGAUACGCAGACACCUCAAGAAACCAGCUCUGGAGAAUCUGGUUCUCUCAGUUCUCUUCAGAUCUGCAUUUCUGAAGAAGAAGAUUGCUGUUUCGGCCCUUUAGUGAGUGUCUGCGUUUUGUUCAAAUCUACGAGCACAGCCGUGUUCUGACCUCUCAG
rnacentral:lncRNA from 1 species